GUGUAGCCACCUGCUAGCGGGCAUAAAACUUAGUACAAAUAUUUCACAAACAUUUGCCAACAAUCAAUAAAUCGCUCCUACACUUGAAACCAAGACCUGGUGGUAAGCCUCCCACCCUGAACCACAUGCCAUACAGCAGUAGCGCUGUUUGUUAAUUUUGUAUCUUAAAAUUAUAACAGUGGUGAUAUCAAACAAAUAAUCUAGGAGUAUCUACACAAAAUACCCUACAACUUUGGUAUUCAAUGGAUAAUUAAAUUCUGCCAUCUAUAAGUUCUAAAACAUCUGACAAGAUAACUGACUGAAUCUGCUUCAGACAGCAGCGUAGUUAACUUGAAAAUUCGAUAUCUCACAAACCACUGAACCAAAAAUCAUGAAAUUAUACUGGAAGUAAGAACUUUUAUCCCUCUACAGAAGUCUCCAUAGUUGGAAGAGUCAAUUCGGCCAUUUACCUGAUGAAACCUACCAGUGAACAGACCCGCUCAUUUUGGUCAGGCAAACAGAAACAGCCACAGUAAAACAAACAUAACUGGAGUUUCUUAAUUCAUAUGAAUGCACUUUUUAACAAUCUGGAAAGCUUAUGAAAUUAUCUACAACUUUUCUUACAAACCCAAGGUUGAAUUCUGUUGAUAAAAUUCCCUAAAUCUUAAGAGAACAGAUUCUGCACAGAAUUAUGAGACAGAAAAACUGCUAUAAUAAAACUGCAAUAACUUUCUGAUCUAAUGUCCGAUUGAGGUGUUCUUCGCGGCCACGGAAAGAUCUACAAAUUAUCUACGACUCAUAUAUAGACUUUUCAUUUUUUUGAGGCCACUAAGACUACGGAAAACAGGCAUGAACAGAAACGGUCGAAUCUGCCAUUCCGCAGAAAACUAAAUUCGAGAUCAAAACCUAACCCCACAUCUAAUCCAACCUCUAAUCCUUUAAUCCCCAUGAUCCACAACCUCCAAAAGCACAUAAUUACAGGGAGGAACAAGGAUUUCAACAUACCUAGGGUUUUCCCCAAGAAAAUCUUCAAGAAGAGAUGGGGAAGAACAUCUCCUUGAUCCUCUCUUCCUCUUCAAUUCAAUGUGCCCCUCCUCUUCUCGAUCCUUGCUGCGUGGGGGGAUCUAGAGGGAGGAGGGAGCCAUGGAGAGGGUAGGGGGCGGCUGCCAAUGGGGAGGAGAGCAAGAGAGGGAGGGGGCAGCUGCAACCCAAUUGGGGAGAGGGAGAGGGGCGGCUAGGGUUGGGGAGGAGAG
rnacentral:lncRNA from 1 species